rnacentral:lncRNA from 1 species
CCGGUAAAUCGAUCUACAUUGGCAUCCUUCGCAGAAAGAAUCUAUACAAGAGUGUCAUCCGACUCAAAUCGCGUCAUCAAAAACAGAAAGAAAGAAGGAACGAAAGGAAGAAGUAAAAACUGAUCGCUCGCUUCGUUGUCACAGCCAGGCCGCUUCGCCGGCAGCUCUUGCUUGCUUGCGCUUCCGCUGCGGAUCACACCGUCUAUUGCUCCGCAAAUCCAUCUAAGGAUCUUCGUUCGGGAUCAUCACCAAUGGGCAUAGCGAGAACUUGCAGCCGUUCUUCGGGAUCUUCCACGACCCCACGGUGUCAAUGGCGCGAUCAAAGGACACAAUGCUGCGGUCGAACGACGCGACACCUCUGUCAAAAGAAGCCGCGACUUUGUCCACGCCUUUGUCGAAGGACAGAGUGAUCUUCUCGAUGCCUUUGUCGAAGGACAGAGCGAUCUUAUCUCCCACCUCAGAAGCAGUGCGACUAGCCUCCGAGAUCGACUUGGCCAGCUGAGACUCCGAUCUUCCGAGCAUAUAUCCCGCUGCCGCCCCGGCCACCGCUGCUCCGACGAUUCCCAGCCCUAGCGAGACAACAUCCCUGUCCCUCGCCAUAGCUGAAAACCCUAAGCUCACGCCAAAA